UGGGGAAUAUUGGGCAAUGGGAGGAAUCCUGACCCAGCGACGCCGCGUGAACGAAGACGGCCUUCGGGUUGUAAAGUUCUUUUAUGUGGGAAGAAUGAAGUGACGGUACCACAUGAAUAAGCCCCGGCUAACUACGUGCCAGCAGCCGCGGUAAUACGUAGGGGGCGAGCGUUGUCCGGAAUUACUGGGCGUAAAGGGCACGCAGGCUGUGCUUCAAGUCAGCUGUAAAAGGAUGCGGCUUAACCGUGUUAUGCGGCUGAGACUGAGGUGCUGGAGUACCGGAGAGGCAAGUGGAAUUCCCAGUGUAGCGGUGAAAUGCGUAGAUAUUGGGAAGAACAUCGGUGGCGAAGGCGACUUGCUGGACGGUAACUGACGCUGAGGUGCGAAAGCCAGGGUAGCGAACGGGAUUAGAUACCCCGGUAGUCCUGGCUGUAAACGAUGAAUGCUAGGUGUGCGAGCAGAGAUGUUGGUGUGCCGCAGUUAACGCGAUAAGCAUUCCGCCUGGGGAGUACGGUCGCAAGAUUG
rnacentral:rRNA from 1 species